CUACGGGGGGCUGCAGUGAGGAAUUUUGCGCAAUGGGGGAAACCCUGACGCAGCAACGCCGCGUGAGUGAUGAAGGCCUUCGGGUCGUAAAACUCUGUCAAGUGGGAAGAACCUAUGUAAGGUUAAUACCCUUAUGUACUGACGGUACCACUGAAGGAAGCACCGGCUAACUCCGUGCCAGCAGCCGCGGUAAUACGGAGGGUGCAAGCGUGAUUCGGAAGUAUUGGGCGUAAAGGGCGCGCAGGCGGUUUUGUAAGUCAGAUGUGAAAGCCCGGGGCUUAACCUCGGAAGUGCAUUUGAUACUGGAAGACUUGAGUAUGGGAGGGGGAAGUGGAAUUCCUGGUGUAGAGGUGAAAUUCGUAGAUAUCAGGAGGAACACCAGUGGCGAAGGCGACUUCCUGGACCAAUACUGACGCUGAGGCGCGAAGGCGUGGGGAGCAAACAGGAUUAGAUACCCUAGUAGUC
rnacentral:rRNA from 1 species